rnacentral:lncRNA from 1 species
UCCGGCCUCCAUUGCUGCUAGUACUAGGAACACUCACGCAUCACACAAAAGCGUGACUAAUACUCUGCCUGCAUAGUGAUUGCUGUAUUAUGUUGAUAUUAAUAGCGCCAAAUCAUAUUAUUGUUUGCUCCUAGGAUCAUAUAUAUGUUGUCAUUCUGUUUUGAAAAAUCUGGAACUUCUUAGAAGAGGUCAUGGAUGUGAUGUGGUAUGCUAUAAAAGUUUCAGUGUUUUUUUUAUGUAAUAACAUGUCAACCUGCAAAAUUUGACACAAACAUGCUUGAUUUGUCUAUUGCUGCUGCUGCUGAUUAGUAGUUUAGUACUAGAGCAAUAAUACAUAUGCAACUAGGAGCCUCACCUGACAGAACAGAGUAAACUAACUGUUGGUAAUGGAUCAGCAAAUUAAGUGGCGGUUACUCCUGUUCUGUGUCUAUGUACACAUAUGCUUGCUUGCUUAUUUGUGAAGUACUCAUGCAUGAAGUCUGGUCAUUACCC